UAUUGAUGGUGUGGACAGUCCCUAAGAAGCGCCUUGAAUCGCUCCCAAGCAUGAUAGAAAUUCUCAUUUCUAUUUGUUUGAAGCAUACAAUCUCACUACGAAGUCU